rnacentral:rRNA from 1 species
UACAGAGGUCUCAAGCGUUGUUCGGAUUCAUUGGGCGUAAAGGGUGCGUAGGCGGCGCGGUAAGUCGGGUGUGAAAUCUCGGGGCUUAACUCCGAAACUGCAUUCGAUACUGCCGUGCUUGAGGACUGGAGAGGAGACUGGAAUUUACGGUGUAGCGGUGAAAUGCGUAGAUAUCAGGAGGAAUACCGAUGGCGAAGGCAGGUCUCUGGGCUGACACUGACGCUCAUGCACGAAAGCGUGGGGAGCAAACAGG